CGAUUACCUAAUACGGCAGACGAUCAUCAAUGUUUUUGCUCAAGAUAGUUGGAAAGCUAUCAUCAUAGAGAAUGCCUGAUUUGCUCGGAGGAAAAGACGAGGCGUCUGUGCUCUCCAGUGGAUCCAAGUAUAAUAUCAGUCGCUCCUGCAUGAAUAUGGUCACCAGCACCCAAUGGUCACCAGUAGGAUUCGAUGGGGCCAGAAUCAAUGAAGUGGCACUGACGCCAUCUCUACGGUCUGCCCAGAGCAUUCCAGUUGACUGACCCCCUCUCCAGUAAUGUCACUGCACUUGGACGACGUGCAGCAGACCAUGAGUAUAAUAAUGCCAGUAAAUGUACGAAACUACCAAUGGAUAAUUUUUGGUAUGACACUU